rnacentral:RNase_P_RNA from 1 species
CGAGUAAGACAGGCAGUCGCGCGGCGAGGUCGAAAGGCCCGCUGUGAGGAAAGUCCGGGCUCCGCAGGGCAAGGAUAACGGGUAACGCCCGCCGAAGGCGACUUCAGGAAAAGUGCAACAGAGAUAUACCGCUGGGCAAGCGCCCAGUAAGGGUGGAAAGGCGAGGUAAGAGCUCACCCAUCGGCUGGAGACUGUCCGAUGCUGUAAACUCUAUCCGGAGCAACACCGUGGGAGGACACAAGGCCGGCCCGGCCGUCCUCAGGAGGUGGCUGGAGCGGUCCGGCAACGGGCCGCCAAGAUAGAUGACUGCCAAAUACAGAACCCGGCUUACAGUCUUGCUCGCUCU